rnacentral:rRNA from 1 species
CAAUACUGAUGCCKGCGAGUGUCGGACGGGUGAGGAAUACAUCKGAAUCUACCUUGUCGUGGGGGAUAAUGUAGGGAAACUUACGCUAAUACCGCAUACUAUCUACGGUUGAAAGCGGCGGACUCGCAAGAGCGUCGCGCGAUUGGAUGAUCCGAUGUCCGAUUAGCUAGUUGGCGGUGUAAAGGCCCACCAAGGCKACGAUCGGUAUCUGGUCUGAGAGGAUGAUCAUGCCACACUGGAACUGAGACACGGUCCAGACUCCUACRGRAGGCAGCAGUGGGGAAUAUUGGACAAUGGGCGCAAGCCUGAUCCASCCAUGCCGCGUGUGUGAASAAGGCCUUCGRGUUGYAAAGCAYUUUUGUUGSGGAASAAAAGACACCGGUUAAUACCCGGKGUUUCUGACGGUACCCAAAGAAUAAGCACMGGCUAACUUCGUGCCAKCWGCCGCGGUAAUACSAAKGGUGCAAGCGUUACUCGSAAUUACUGGGCGUAAWGCGUGCGUAGGUGGUGAGUUAAGUCUGUCGUGACAGCCCYGNGCUCAACCUGCKAAUGGCGAUGGAUACUGNCUCGCUAGAGUGCCGUAGAGGAUAGUGGAAUUCCNGGUGUAGCAGUGAAAUGCGUAAAGAUCGNGAGGAUCAUCAGUUGCGAAGGCGGCUCUCUGGACNANCACUGACACUGA